GGGUUGUGAGGUUAAGCGACUAAGCGUACACGGUGGAUGCCCUGGCAGUCAGAGGCGAUGAAGGACGUGCUAAUCUGCGAAAAGCGCCGGCGAGGUGAUAUGAACCUUUGACCCGGCGAUGUCCGAAUGGGGAAACCCAGUGUGUUCCGACACACUAUCGUUAACUGAAUACAUAGGUUAACGAGGCGAACCGGGGGAACUGAAACAUCUAAGUACCCCGAGGAAAAGAAAUCAACCGAGAUUCCCCCAGUAGCGGCGAGCGAACGGGGAGGAGCCCAGAGUCUGAAUCAGCGUGUGUGUUAGUGGAACGGUCUGGAAAGUCCGGCGAUACAGGGUGACAGCCCCGUACACGAAAGCACACAUGCUGUGAACUCGAAGAGUAGGGCGGGACACGUGGUAUCCUGUCUGAAUAUGGGGGGACCAUCCUCCAAGGCUAAAUACUCCUGACUGACCGAUAGUGAACCAGUACCGUGAGGGAAAGGCGAAAAGAACCCCGGCGAGGGGAGUGAAAAAGAACCUGAAACCGUGUACGUACAAGCAGUGGGAGCCCCACCACUAAGCCAGUGGUGAGUCCACGUCAGCAUCCUUUGCCGAAGGUAAGGUUAACGGAGCGCAAGCGACGUUCAACCUCAAAAGAAGCAGAGGGGGCUUAGUGGUGGGGUGACUGCGUACCUUUUGUAUAAUGGGUCAGCGACUUAUAUUCUGUAGCAAGGUUAACCGAAUAGGGGAGCCGAAGGGAAACCGAGUCUUAACUGGGCGUUAAGUUGCAGGGUAUAGACCCGAAACCCGGUGAUCUAGCCAUGGGCAGGUUGAAGGUUGGGUAACACUAACUGGAGGACCGAACCGACUAAUGUUGAAAAAUUAGCGGAUGACCUGUGGCUGGGGGUGAAAGGCCAAUCAAACCGGGAGAUAGCUGGUUCUCCCCGAAAGCUAUUUAGGUAGCGCCUCGUGAACUCAUCUUCGGGGGUAGAGCACUGUUUCGGCUAGGGGGUCAUCCCGACUUACCAACCCGAUGCAAACUGCGAAUACCGAAGAAUGUUAUCACGGGAGACACACGGCGGGUGCUAACGUCCGUCGUGAAGAGGGAAACAACCCAGACCGCCAGCUAAGGUCCCAAAGUCAUGGUUAAGUGGGAAACGAUGUGGGAAGGCCCAGACAGCCAGGAUGUUGGCUUAGAAGCAGCCAUCAUUUAAAGAAAGCGUAAUAGCUCACUGGUCGAGUCGGCCUGCGCGGAAGAUGUAACGGGGCUAAACCAUGCACCGAAGCUGCGGCAGCGACGCUUAGGCGUUGUUGGGUAGGGGAGCGUUCUGUAAGCCGUAGAAGGUGGCCUGUGAGGGCUGCUGGAGGUAUCAGAAGUGCGAAUGCUGACAUAAGUAACGAUAAAGCGGGUGAAAAGCCCGCUCGCCGGAAGACCAAGGGUUCCUGUCCAACGUUAAUCGGGGCAGGGUGAGUCGACCCCUAAGGCGAGGCCGAAAGGCGUAGUCGAUGGGAAACAGGUUAAUAUUCCUGUACUUGGUGUUACUGCGAAGGGGGGACGGAGAAGGCUAUGUUAGCCGGGCGACGGUUGUCCCGGUUUAAGCAUGUAGGCGGAGGUUCAAGGUAAAUCCGGUACCUUUUAACGCUGAGGUGUGAUGACGAGGCACUACGGUGCUGAAGUAACAAAUGCCCUGCUUCCAGGAAAAGCCUCUAAGCUCCAGGUAACACGAAAUCGUACCCCAAACCGACACAGGUGGUCAGGUAGAGAAUACCAAGGCGCUUGAGAGAACUCGGGUGAAGGAACUAGGCAAAAUGGUGCCGUAACUUCGGGAGAAGGCACGCUGACAUGUAGGUGAAGCCCCUGCGGGUGGAGCUGAAGUCAGUCGAAGAUACCAGCUGGCUGCAACUGUUUAUUAAAAACACAGCACUGUGCAAACACGAAAGUGGACGUAUACGGUGUGACGCCUGCCCGGUGCCGGAAGGUUAAUUGAUGGGGUUAUCCUUAGGGAGAAGCUCUUGAUCGAAGCCCCGGUAAACGGCGGCCGUAACUAUAACGGUCCUAAGGUAGCGAAAUUCCUUGUCGGGUAAGUUCCGACCUGCACGAAUGGCGUAAUGAUGGCCAGGCUGUCUCCACCCGAGACUCAGUGAAAUUGAACUCGCUGUGAAGAUGCAGUGUACCCGCGGCAAGACGGAAAGACCCCGUGAACCUUUACUAUAGCUUGACACUGAACAUUGAGCCUUGAUGUGUAGGAUAGGUGGGAGGCUUUGAAGCGUGGACGCCAGUCUGCGUGGAGCCAACCUUGAAAUACCACCCUUUAAUGUUUGAUGUUCUAACCUGGCGCCGUAAUCCGGCGUGGGGACAGUGUCUGGUGGGUAGUUUGACUGGGGCGGUCUCCUCCUAAAGAGUAACGGAGGAGCACGAAGGUUGGCUAAUCCUGGUCGGACAUCAGGAGGUUAGUGCAAUGGCAUAAGCCAGCUUGACUGCGAGCGUGACGGCGCGAGCAGGUGCGAAAGCAGGUCAUAGUGAUCCGGUGGUUCUGAAUGGAAGGGCCAUCGCUCAACGGAUAAAAGGUACUCCGGGGAUAACAGGCUGAUACCGCCCAAGAGUUCAUAUCGACGGCGGUGUUUGGCACCUCGAUGUCGGCUCAUCACAUCCUGGGGCUGAAGUAGGUCCCAAGGGUAUGGCUGUUCGCCAUUUAAAGUGGUACGCGAGCUGGGUUUAGAACGUCGUGAGACAGUUCGGUCCCUAUCUGCCGUGGGCGCUGGAGAAUUGAGGGGGGCUGCUCCUAGUACGAGAGGACCGGAGUGGACGCAUCACUGGUGUUCGGGUUGUCAUGCCAAUGGCAUUGCCCGGUAGCUACAUGCGGAAGAGAUAAGUGCUGAAAGCAUCUAAGCACGAAACUUGCCCCGAGAUGAGUUCUCCCUGAGACCCAGAGUCUCCUGAAGGAACGUUAAAGACGAUGACGUUGAUAGGCCGGGUGUGUAAGCGCAGCGAUGCGUUGAGCUAACCGGUACUAAUGAACCGUGAGGCUUAACCUUACAACGCCGAAG
rnacentral:rRNA from 1 species